rnacentral:tRNA from 1 species
CACCCGUAGCUCAGCUGGAUAGAGCGCUGCCCUCCGAAGGCAGAGGCCACAGGUUCGAAUCCUGUCGGGUGCGCCAU